rnacentral:rRNA from 1 species
AUUGAACGCUGGCGGCAUGCCUUACACAUGCAAGUCGAACGGCAGCGGACCUUCGGGUGCCGGCGAGUGGCGAACGGGUGAGUAAUAUAUCGGAACGUACCUUUCAGUGGGGGAUAACGUAGCGAGAGUUACGCUAAUACCGCAUAUUCUGUGAGCAGGAAAGCAGGGGAUCGCAAGACCUUGCGCUGAUUGAGCGGCCGAUAUCAGAUUAGCUAGUUGGUGNGGUAAACGGCUCACCAAGGCGACGAUCUGUAGCGGGUCGUGACGAGGAUGAUCCGCCACACUGGAACUGAGACACGGUCCAGACUCCUACGGGAGGCAGCAGUGGGGAAUUUUGGACAAUGGGCGCAAGCCUGAUCCAGCCAUGCCGCGUGAGUGAAGAGG